GGCCGUGUAGCGUAAUGGUUAACGCGCUAGUUUCCGGUAUUGUGGACAUACAUCCAAGCUAGAGAUUCCGAGUUCGAGUCUCGGCAUGGUCG